GUCAGGCCGAGGAGAAGAGGCAGGCAGGACAGAUGUGGGCACCAUCCGUGGAGAAAGAAGCCACAGUCCCCGAGGCAGAAGGAGUUUCCAUGGAACAAGGGCAGGGGGCGCAGGCCGUGGAGCGUGCCCAAGAUGCCCUCUCCUGUGGAAUAGGCAGUGGGGAGAUGCCGUUGAGCCGUCGUCUUCUCAGAGGUGUGGAAACGGCUGCUGCCCCUCCAGUCCAGGGCCCCUUUUCCUUUGAGGAGGUGGCCGUG